rnacentral:rRNA from 1 species
GACGAACGCUGGCGGCGUGCUUAACACAUGCAAGUCGAACGGAAAGGCCCUGCUUUUGUGGGGUGCUCGAGUGGCGAACGGGUGAGUAACACGUGAGUAACCUGCCCUUGACUUUGGGAUAACUUCAGGAAACUGGGGCUAAUACCGGAUAGGAGCUCCUGCUGCAUGGUGGGGGUUGGAAAGUUUCGGCGGUUGGGGAUGGACUCGCGGCUUAUCAGCUUGUUGGUGGGGUAGUGGCUUACCAAGGCUUUGACGGGUAGCCGGCCUGAGAGGGUGACCGGCAACAUUGGGACUGAGAUACGGACCAGACUCCUACGGGAGGCAGCAGUGGGGAAUAUUGCACACUGGGCGGAAGCCUGCUGCAGCCACGCCGCGUGCGGGAUGACGGCCUUCGGGUUGUAAACCGCUUUCGCCUGUGACGAAGCGUGAGUGACGGUAAUGGGUAAAGAAGCACCGGCUAACUACGUG